rnacentral:sRNA from 1 species
AUUACAGCUCGUACACUGCAGUUCCUCCGCGCCGUCGGCACCCACCUGGCGACUGCUCGUAGGUUUUGUUAGCC